CCCAGUGAUAACCGAUGCCACUAUAAGGCAUUUCAUCACCUCCAAAGUUGUUGGUUGCGUGGGGAAGUCGAAUAAGUUUUGGAGCAGAACAACAAGCUCGACAUCUGCCCACACAAGUAGGCGUUACCUGAUGCUGAAAUAUUGGGUGAACUUGAUAAAGCUUUUUCAUCACUGACUACAAGUACCGCAUCUAGUACAGAUAAAGGCGAGACAAGCUCAACUAGCGAUUUUCAAGGCAAGUUACACAACUGAAAAUAAAAUGCGGGUUUGAAAAGUAAACUGAAGAAAGAAAGAAUACUUAUAGAAGCUUC